UGGUGCCAGACCAGAAAAACUUUGAUAAUACAGGUUCUGAAAUUAAUAUCGGUUAUGCAUGUGUGACGCACAGCUGGCGCUUCUCCUCCAAGUUGUGGUUUUAUGUUGGUGCCUCGCCAUGUAACAGCCCAGAGAUAAGAAGACG